AAUGGGUUGUUGUUUGGGAAUCUGUAGUGGGAAACGAGACAGAAAACAGAGGCUGAAAGAGACCAUGCAACUACUAAAAUGCUUGUCAAUGUCAGUGCUUGUGAAAAGCACACUAAAUGAUAGAGCACUACGUUCCUUAUGACAAACAAAAGGAAUCCACAGAAACUUGGUAAAAGAAGCAGAGAAGACACUAUUCCCUAUGUGUAAAAUGUGGAUAUGUACAUGAAAUCAAAGGCGAGAAAACAGGAGCCUCGUUACCUUCUUUGACUAAGCUGUCGGUGAAGAGACUGGUGAGGAUGGUGGCGGGCAGGGUGCCAUUGCCCAGCAGAAUCCCCGACAGCAUCGCCAACUUUGUCUGCUCUGUUUCGGAAAAGGCUUUAAGGAAGAGGAGAAGCUGUGGGUCAAAAAAAAAAAAAAAAAAGAAAAAGAAAAAGAAAAAAAAAGGAACCAUGUCUAUGAAGCAAAGGACUGAAGUGGGAAGAUAAACUGUGAACAUCCAUGGCUACGUGGCACACACACAGAAGGUCAUAUGCAAAGCAUAGUAAUUCAUUUCAUGAUAAACGGGAUGCUGUGGAAAGUGACUUGAGCAGGCAGAGUUCCUUUCUUCUCAGUUAAUUUACUCACAGCUGUAGAUAACAUUCACGGAAAGGAGAAGAGAUAUUUGGAUGAUAUGUAAACAGAUGGAUUUAUGUUUGACUAUGUGCAUGCAAAAGAGUUAAGUAUACAUGAUGGACAUGUUUUCUGAAAUGUAUUGUUUUUCAAGUUUUUCCACUUCUUUGGGCGACUACCUCUUCCCCUGCUACAUGUACCCAUUUUCUCUGAAUAGAAUUUGUACGGCAAAAACAUAGAAACAAAAAAAAGCCCCACAAAAACAAACAAAAAAAAACAGGAAAGAGUUGAAGUUAAGCUUUUGACAUUUAAUACAUACUUUUCUGAGCUCACAGAAUACAACAGUCUUCAAAACAAGACUGUUGAGGGAGAAAGGGUUUUUCUAGGUUCUUGAUGUUUUUUGGUAAACUUUUAGAUUCUCUUGCCACAGAGGCAGGGAACUGAAAAAGUAGCAAUCCUAGAAAAUUUGAAUGUAAGCUCAAAGCAAAUAAAACGAAAAACCCACUUCCUGUAUUAAAUUCUAAGAGUAGUCAGCCCUGUGGGAUGCCCUUCUCUCUCCUGACUCUCCUCUGCUUUGUGCUUUGACUACAUUCUACUGUUACUUUCUCCAUUUCAGCAGUUACUAGGCUUGCCAUGGAAAUUCCUCAGGGGCCACUAUCACCACAGGGGCCUUGCUGAUCUUCCAUUAUUUUGCGCCAAUGCAAAAUUCACUGGCAUUGAUAGAGACUUAAGUGUCUCCACCCUGAUGACAUGAUUAUUCCACUAACUGUGUAGGGGAUAAUAAAAUAUUAACUUACUAUUCCCCAAGAAUUGAAGGAUUAUUAUAUUAUAGACUAUUUACAUUAUGUGAAAGUGGCAGAACUGGAACCAAACCAGUCCAUUUGCCUCUCAAUUUAUACCUAUUAAAUUCUCAAAAAAUUAAAAAGAAGUUAACAUCUAAGUAAGUGCCAGGGAGUGAGGGAAUGAGGGAUUGAAAGGCUUAAGUUCCAAGGAGCAUCAGAAAUGGGGAAGAAUGAAAGAACUAACAUAAAUAUAGACAGUUCAUGUCAAUUUGUCCUUUUCCUCCAUUAUAAAAAUAAGUAACAUUUAAACGAGAAUAAUAAAAAUUAGCCUCUAAAAUAAAAUUUUAACACCACUUCUUUAAGCUCACACAUAUAACCAUAUUCAUUUAAAAUAUACUUAAUCACAUAGAAAUGGUACAAAAAUUAGAUCAUCAUAAAAAUAAUAACCACAGUGCUCAAUUAUAUUAAUCAACAUUAAAACAUAAUUACAUGUAUACACACAUAUUGUUUUUUACUGCAUUAUAUGCUAAUGAUAGCUAAAACUUGUUGAGUGGACCAGACACUCUUCUGAUCCCUUUAUGUGUAUUAAUACCUACAACAGGCUCCAUCUCCAAUUACAGAAAAGAACACUAAGGUACAAAGAUAUUAAGUAAUUUGCCCCAGGUCAAACUACUACCAAAUGGUUGCUUUGCACCUCGCAUUUCCACUUAAUUUGUCAUGGGCAUUUUCCCUUAUUAAUACAUGUAGUUAUGCCUACAUGUAUAAAAGACUGCAUAGUAUUCCACUGUAUAGAUAGAUUGUAAUUUAAUUAAACAGUCUUCAUCUCCCACCAAUGGACGUUUAGGCUAUUUUUCAAUACUGUGGUGACAUCUUUAUACAUAUAGCUUUAUAUAUCCAUGCUAAUGGAUUCUUAUAAAUUCAUGACGGCUGGGUCAUGGGUUAUGUAAGAAACAUUUCUUUUAAUGACUAUUGCCAAAUUGCUCUUCAAUAUUAUACACGGAACCACUUUGAACUGGGUGGGGUGGGGUGCAGUUAGGUGGGGAGGAGCGGGGAGAGUAAGUAAGUAGGGAAGAAGUAAGUAUAUGUUAUGGUUACUUUUUUCACUUGGUUUUUUACUUUAGAUAGUUAUCUAAAAUUGGAAGCAAUGACAAAGUAACGAACAAAUCUGAAACAAGUAAAGGUAGUGGGUGCCAUAUAUAAAUACAGGAGUUACAAAUUGGAAGAGGGAACAUGCAAUUACUCAAAAGAGGACAUCUUUAAGGAGAUGCUACUGUGGAUUUCACUGAUGAGAAAGAGUACUGAGAAUUACACCCAUAUACUCUAUCUCCAAAGAGGUGCUUUUAUUCCCUUUGCUAAACUGCAUACAAUUAAAGAAUUUUGCUGAACAUUAGCUGCUGUGCUACGUUCUUUCAUGGGCUUUAACUACUUAAAUCACUUUAUCUAGUUUUCAUUUUAAUCUCUGCAAGGUCAGAGGUUAUAGCCCGUAAAACUAUUCUUACUGAACAAAGCACACUGUCUUACAUUAAAUAUUAAUGGAAAAAGUCCAGAAUAAUCACAUAUUUCUUCCUAUAGCUAUUAGCUAAUGAUCUUUCAUACUUAUUUACCAAAUAUGUAUUAAAAACUCACUAUGUGUUUCACAUACAUGUUAUUACAUAUAUGGCACUUCUGCAAUAUCAUUGUACAUGUAAAAUUUUAUUUUAUUUUUUGAGAUGGAGUCUUGCUCUGUCGCCCAGGCUGGAGUGCAGUGGAGUGAUCUCGGCUUACUGAAGCCUCUGCUGCCCAGGUUCAAGCAAUUCUCCUGCCUCAGCCUCCCAGUUAGCUGGGAUUACAGGUGCAUGCCACCAUGCCCGGGUAAUUUUUGUGUUUUUAGUAGAGACAGGGUUUCAGCAUCUUGGCCAGGCUGGUCUUAAACUCCUGACCUUGUGACCCACCCGUCUCGGCCUCCCAAAGUGCUGGGAUUACAGGCGUGAGCCACCGUGUCCGGCCACUUAUACAAUUUUUAUCCACCCCCAUGUCAUUACUAUAAAACAGAUAGGCAUUACAUUUGAAUUUUUACCUUUUUCAUUUCAUCUUCAAAUGCCUUCUCCAAAUACUUAUAUCUCCUGAUGAGUUUAUUGAAGACCUAAAAAAAACAACCAUUAAAUAUUAGGUCAACCAAAAAGACACAGAAGAGGUAUAGAAACUCACUAUAAUGACACCAUAGAUCUAUAAUAAUAAAAGUGUAUAGUUAAACAGGCUCACACUGUAAUAUAAGAACUAUAAGCAUUUCAAAGAUGCUAUCAUGACCUAGGGGAACAAAUAUGAUCAAAAUGUACACGUAAGAUAAAACAUAUUCAUUCAAGAAUAUAGC